GAUGAACGCUGGCGGCGUGCCUAAUACAUGCAAGUCGAGCGAACAGACGAGGAGCUUGCUCCUCUGACGUUAGCGGCGGACGGGUGAGUAACACGUGGAUAACCUACCUAUAAGACUGGGAUAACUUCGGGAAACCGGAGCUAAUACCGGAUAAUAUAUUGAACCGCAUGGUUCAAUAGUGAAAGACGGUUUUGCUGUCACUUAUAGAUGGAUCCGCGCCGCAUUAGAUAGUUGGUAAGGUAACGGCUUACCAAGGCAACGAUGCGUAGCCGACCUGAGAGGGUGAUCGGACACACUGGAACUGAGACACGGUCAAGACGCCUACGGGAGGCAGCAGUAGGGAAUCUUCCGCAAUGGGCGAAAGCCUGACGGAGCAAAGCAGCGUGAGUGAAGAAGGUCUUAGGAUCGUAAAACUCUGUUAUUAGGGAAGAACAAAUGUGUAAGUAACUAUGCACGUAUUGACGGUAACUAAUAAGAAAGCCACGGCUAACUACGUG
rnacentral:rRNA from 1 species